UACAGAGGGGGCAAGCGUUGUUCGGAAUUACUGGGCGUAAAGGGCUCGUAGGCGGCCAACUAAGUCAGACGUGAAAUCCCUCGGCUUAACCGGGGAACUGCGUCUGAUACUGGAUGGCUUGAAUCCGGGAGAGGGAUGCGGAAUUCCAGGUGUAGCGGUGAAAUGCGUAGAUAUCUGGAGGAACACCGGUGGCGAAGGCGACAUCCUGGACCGGUAUUGACGCUGAGUGAGCGAAAGCCAGGGGAGCAAACGGG
rnacentral:rRNA from 1 species